rnacentral:rRNA from 1 species
GAUGAACGCUGGCGGUAUGCCUAACACAUGCAAGUCGAACGGACUCUUCGGAGUUAGUGGCGGACGGGUGAGUAACGCGUGAGAAUCUGGCUUUGGGUUCGGGACAACCACUGGAAACGGUGGCUAAUACCGGAUGUGCCGAGAGGUAAAAGAGAAGUUGCCUGAAGAUGAGCUCGCGUCUGAUUAGCUAGUUGGUGAGGUAAAGGCUCACCAAGGCAGCGAUCAGUAGCUGGUCUGAGAGGAUGACCAGCCACACUGGGACUGGGACACGGCCCAGACUCCUACGGGAGGCAGCAGUGGGGAAUUUUCCGCAAUGGGCGAAAGCCUGACGGAGCAAUACCGCGUGAGGGAAGAAGGCUCUUGGGUUGUAAACCUCUUUUCUUAGGGAAGAACAAAAUGACGGUACCUAAGGAAUCAGCAUCGGCUAACUCCGUG